CUCUGAUAAUGUAAGACCCUCUUUUGGGGACCCUCACUAUAGUCUCGGGAUAGAGUGCAUCCAAAGAAACUUGAGAAUCC
rnacentral:pre_miRNA from 7 species